rnacentral:rRNA from 1 species
UACGUAGGGGGCAAGCGUUGUCCGGAUUUAUUGGGCGUAAAGAGCGUGUAGGCGGCUUGGUAGGUCCGCUGUGAAAACUCGAGGCUCAACCUCGAGAUGUCGGCGGAAACCACUUGGCUAGAGUCCGGAAGAGGAGAGUGGAAUUCCUGGUGUAGCGGUGAAAUGCGUAGAUAUCUGGAGGAACACCGGUGGCGAAGGCGGCAUCCUGGACCGACAUUGACGCUGAGGCGCGAAAGCCAGGGGAGCAAACGGG